GUGCACCUUUUCUCUGAAUUAGUGUCUCAUCCCGAACAAUAAGAAGAAUUUAAGUAACCUGGCUGAAGCUCAAGACACGUGCAGACCUAAGUAGAUGGACUUCCAGAAGCCAUAACUCUGGAGGCAAGAGUGAAGACCCUUCAACAAUAUACUACAACAUAGAAAUAUUGUUCAGAGGGGCCAAAUUUAAAUUAAGGAACACAACGUAGGGAAAAGAAGGAAGGUCCAAGCCCUCAGAUUGACGUGUUAAGCUUCAGGACCCACACCUCCAAGAGUGGAAUUAUUUAGAAAUGGUCUCAUCCCGAACAAUAAGAAGAAUUUAAGUAACCUGGCUGAAGCUCAAGACACGUGCUGACCCAAGUAGAUGGACUUCCAGAAGACACAACUCUGGAGGCAAGAGUGAAGACCCUUCAACAAUAUACUACAACAUAGAAAUAUUGUUCAGAGGGGCCAAAUUUAAAUUAAGGAACACAACGUAUGGAAUAGAAGGAAGGUCCAAGCUCUUAGAUUGACGUGUUAAGCUUCAGGACCCACACCUCCAAGAGUGGAAUUAUUUAGAAAUUGUCUCAUCCCGAACAAUAAGAAGAAUUUAAGUAACCUGGCUGAAGCCAAGACACGUGCAGACCUAAGUAGAUGGACUUCCAGAAACCACAACUCCGGAGGCAAGAGUGAAGACCCUUCAACAAUAUACUACAACAUAGAAGUAUUGUUCAGAGGGGCCAGAUUUAAAUCAAGGAACACAACGUAGGGAAAAGAAGGUCCAAGCCCUCAGAU